CGCCCGUGUAUCGGCCCGGCGGCGUUCCGGUUGCGCGGGGAUUGACCCAGGGGCAGGAAGUGCCGGCGGCUCCUCCCUGCGCCCUCCCGCUCCCUCCUCCUCCUCGCCCGUGUCCAUUCCAAGAUGGCCGGGAUCCCUUUGUAUUUUGUGGAUUUGCAGGAUGACUUAGAUGAUUUUGGGUUUGAAGAUUAUGGACCAGACUGUGAUAGCAUGAGGAUAACUGCGUUCUUGGAUAUUCCUGGGCAGGAUAACUUAACUCCACUGGCUCGUCUAGAAAAAUAUGCCUUCAGCGAUAACAUAUUUAACAGGCAAAUUAUUGCCAGAGGUCUUUUGGAUGUCUUCCGAGAUUUCAGUAAUAAUGAAGAAGACUUCCUGACUGUAAUGGAAAUAGUGGUCAGGCUCUCUGAAGAUGCAGAACCAACUGUACGUACAGAGCUGAUGGAACAAAUACCUCCUAUUGCCAUUUUUCUGCAAGAAAGUCGACCAAAAUUCCCAACAGCGUUUUUUGAGUACCUUAUGCCCAUAGUAGUGAGAUACCUCACAGAUGUUAACAAUCAGGUUAGAAAGGCAGGUCAAGAAGCACUGCUUAUACUGCUAGAACAAGACCUUAUUGCUCAGAGUGACAUCGAAAAUAAGGUGUGUCCCAUUCUGUUGGACCUCUCUGCUCCUGACAGUGAUGAUGAGUACAAGGUGGAAGCUGUGAAUAUAAUCUGUAAAAUGGCUUCUAUGUUGAGCAGAAAAACAGUUGAGCACAUGCUACUUCCUCGUUUCUGUGAACUGUGCAGUGAUGGGAAAUUGUUUCAAGUCCGAAAGAUUUGUGCAGCUAAUUUUGGUGACAUUUGUAAUGCAGUUGGCCAAGAAGCCACAGAAAGACUGCUGAUUCCCAAGUUCUUUGAACUCUGUUCUGAUAGUGUUUGGGGAAUGAGAAAAGCUUGUGCGGAAUGCUUUAUGGCAGUGUCUUACACCACAUCCCCCGAAGUUCGCAGAAGCAAACUAUCCCCGCUGUUCAUCAGUCUUAUUAGUGACACUUGCAGAUGGGUUCGUCAGGCUGCUUUUCAGUCUCUUGGCCCGUUUAUUUCUACCUUUGCAAACCCUUCAAGUGCUGGUCUUUACAUUCGAGAAGAUGGGACGCUGAGUAUCCGACCAUCAACGCAAGAUGUGAAUUCCAACUCCUGUCAGCCAAGCAACAAUAUAACAUUAAUGUCCUCCAGUACAAAUGCUACAUUGUCCAGUUCAGAACAACCAAUGGAAAUCAAACCAGAAUCAUCGAGUGAGGAGACUUCAGCUGAAGUUAAUACAAAGCUCUCAGUUGAGAACCUAAAUAAAGAUACACAGGAAGAAAGUUCAGAUUGUUGUACCAAUCCUGGAGAAGAUGUGUCUCGAUUGUCUCAGGGUGACAGAGUUGCUGCUGGUGUCAUAGAAGUCACUAAGGACAGCAGUUUUCCUGGAAUGAACUCAAGGCUACAGUCUGCUGAGGACAUAUUUAAUACUUUUCUAUACUGGCGCCCUCCUCUGCCUGAUAUAAGUCAGGAUCUGGAGCUGCUUCAGUUCAAGACUGAAAAGCACAAAGAUAGCUGUUCUGUGCCAUGUAAUAACUGUGUUGCUAGUAGUGAAAUAAAAAAAGUUCUAGAAAGCUUACAAGAGCACAUAGAUGAUCCAGAUGUUCAAGCUCAGGUCCAAGUGUUGUCUGCUGCUCUCAGAGCUGCUCAGUUUGAUUCUGUUGGUGACUAUGAGACCAAAAAAAUUGAAGAAAGCAGUGGCAAACUUCAGAACAAAACUAUUUCAGACGAAACAGCUGUUUCGGAUGCUACCUGCAGCCAGGUGGAGGAGGACACUCUUUCAUCCCCUGCUUCCCAGGAUGACAUCAGUGACCAGUCUACCACCAAUAUACAGAAAAGCACAGACUCUGAGGAACAACACAGAGGAACCAGUGCAUUUUUAAAGAAAGAGCAAGAAAACAAUCCACCAUUUGAAGACGACAAGUCAAAAUUACAGGAUAUCAUACCUCAACCGUUAUUAGACCAGUACUUGUCAAUGACCGACCCAGCUCGAGCCCAGACUGUUGAUACUGAAAUAGCCAAGCACUGUGCCUACAGUCUUCCUGGGGUGGCCUUGACGCUGGGCAGGCAGAACUGGCACUGCCUGAAGGAUACGUAUGAGACGUUGGCCUCAGAUGUACAGUGGAAGGUGCGUCGGACGCUUGCUUUCUCCAUACAUGAACUAGCAGUUAUUCUGGGGGACCAGCUAACAGCUGCUGAUCUGGUGCCAAUUUUCAAUGGAUUCUUGAAAGAUCUGGAUGAAGUGCGUAUUGGUGUCCUUAAACAUCUGUAUGACUUUCUAAAGUUACUUCAUGCAGACAAAAGGCGAGAGUAUCUUUACCAGCUUCAAGAAUUUGUGGUGACUGAUAACAGCAGGAACUGGAGGUUUCGUUACGAGCUGGCAGAGCAGCUGAUCCUGAUACUGGAGCUCUACAAUCCCAAUGAUGUCUAUGACUACUUAAGACACAUUGCACUGACUCUCUGCUCCGAUAAAGUUUCAGAAGUUCGGUGGAUCUCCUUCAAACUGGUUGUAGCAAUUCUACAGAAGUUCUAUGCAAACAAUGCAAGUGCACUGGGAUUGAAUUUCAUUAAUGAACUUGUAGUGCGGUUUCGUCACUGCUCCAAGUGGGUUGGAAGACAGGCUUUUGCCUUCAUUUGUCAGGCUGUAGUAGAAGAAGAAUGUAUGCCUGUCGACCAGUUUGUUGAACACUUACUCCCCAGUCUUUUAAGUCUUGCUUCAGAUCCUGUGCCAAACGUGAGGGUUCUGCUGGCCAAGGCUCUAAGGCAGACGUUAUUGGAGAAAGCUUAUUUUAAAAGUGUUGGAAAUCCCCAUCUAGAAGCUGCAGAAGAGACCAUUCUAGCCCUGCAAGCUGACAGAGAUCAAGAUGUGUCCUUCUUUGCCACCAUAAAACUAAAACAGGGUGCCAUGGAUAAUACAGCCAUUGACAAACAAAACUAAUGUGGUGUUCUGCAGUAAAUGCUGAACAUCAGAACGGUUAUUCGCCUUGUGGGUACGGUUGGUAUGAAUAAUGUGGACAAAUAAGAAGGUUUUUGUUACCUACAUGAGCUGGAAAGGGUCUGUUGAGAAAUGUUGCGAUCUUCAUCUCAUGGCCACCUUUCAUCUACAGCUGUGUGUUUGUCUGAUGUGCAUGAGUAAUUAAUUUUGGUUUUCACUUUGUAAAUGCGGGUGAUAACUCUGAUCUUGUGUGCAGUUAAGUAUCGUAUGUAAAGUCUUACACCAUACGCAGUGUUUCAGUGUAAUUGGAAUUCAUAUUUCAUUUUUUAACAAAACAUUUCCAGUAGUAGAGCAGUCUGCUAUAAGCUUAAAAUGGUUUCUUAAUCUUAAAAGCUGAUUAUAGCAAACUUAAAUGAAGAUAUUCUUUCCUCACUUCUAUUGUAGUUUUUGUAUUGUUUCAAGUAUUACAUUUUAACUGAAAAAAAGUGUAUAUAUGUGAAUAGUUUUGAAUUUUUAACAAAAAAAGGAUGAAGAACUUAAUUCUGUGUCAGUGGAAAAAAGCUCAAAAAUCAUUUCAUUUUAUGAAGUAGUUACUCUGCUAGAAUUAAGGCAUGGUUCAUUUUUAGUUAAUAUAAUGUGAUGUUUUUCAAAGCACGGAGAGCUCAAGAUUCUUUGUAUAUUGUGACUUUUCUAUUAAUUUGUUAUUUCUGGGCUAUACCCUUACAGCUGUUAACCGUGUCUGGUUUCGUUACUCCUGGCUCUGGUAGUGGUAGGUAAGCUUAGUUUCCCAAACUGGCCAUUUCUCGUUCUGCCCGAGCAAAGUUCACUUUGUUGAAGGGAUUCAGUUCCUGCCGCAUGUGCUGGAUCUGUAGGAGGGGAUUACAGAAUUUUAGACUCGCGUUUUUGGUUGGUUGGGUUUUUUGACAUACGAACAUCAUUUGAAAAACACCUUUUAACUGGUCCAACAUUCAAAGCCUGAGCAGCCUGCUACUUUGUUCCUAAGAAACAAAGGACCUCUAAAUUCUGAAAAUCCCUAAAUGACACAUGCUCAGGGGAAAGGUGUUGCUGCCGCUUGCUCUGUGACUUCUGCUGGUUGCACGGUAAGGGUUGGGGCAAAGAACAAAGGAAGGUCACUGAGAUCCUUACGCUUAAGGAGGAUGUUUUCUUUGCGUUUAAACAGGUGUUUGGGAAGAAAGAAAGAAUAAACAGAGAGAACACGGUUCUGUUAAUAAAAUCUGAUAGCUUCUGACCAGUUUGAAAAAUUAUAAAACCGAUACUUUUUGGUGGAUGCUGUCUUCUGUUGUGUCCCAAAUCCACAGAUAAUGUGGGGCCUGGAAAAUACAGAGUCUUACUUUUUUAGAUUGUGGAUUGGAACUUUGUCCUGUUAAAACCUAAUGCUUAAAUACUAAAGAAAUGGUUUCAUGGAGUAACAGUUACUUUCUCUUUGUGAACACAAUACUUCAUCGUAAAUAGACCUGUGUAAAUAUUUCCCAUUAUUUCACUGUUAUACUAGUAAGUAGUUCACAUGGGUGAAGGUUUUUACAGAAAUUACUUUUUUCUUUUUUGUUUUGUUUUAAAUCUAGCUUGUCUGCAAUACAGCAAGUUGGUUCCUCGGCUGGGUUCUGUAUUUUUGGAGGGCUCGGUUUUGUAGAAGUUUGUUUAAUGAGUCUUGUAUUAUAAUAUGUACAGUAUUUGUAACAAAUUGUUUUCUCGUGAGAUCACAAUAUGCUUUUGGAAGUUGCAGGCAGAAUUAUACCACUGCUGUCACUGCUUUGCAGCAAACACUAUAAGCUCUGUAAACUCUGCAACGUUCUACGCUUAAUCUUUUACAAUUUUUUUAUAAUUUAAACUAAACACUUCUUCAGUACAGACUUUUUAUGAUUGCAGUUUCUUAACAAAAAGACCUCGCAAGUUAAUUUUUUCUAGUUCUAAUAUCUUUUUCUAAUGCUGGCAUUAUACUGGUAUUUUCUAACAGUUCAAAUUUUCUAAGGCCUUUCUGACAAGGUUUUACUUCUGUUUUUUAUUAUCAGUUAAUUAAAUUUCUCAGCACUGAAGAAAUUUUUUUAUGUGUGUGUAUAUGUAAGUAUGUUUGAAAUGUACUGUAUAGAAAUUAAAUACUUUGAACAUUAACCGAAGCCAGGUUUCUGUUUGCCAGAUAAUCUUAAAUAGUUAACCUUUACUUGCAAUAAUGCACUGGAGAACACACGCUUCCCUGUGUGUUGGCAUGUUUGGUUAGUGCUCAUCAAGAGUUUUUCAUUAGAAUUUGUGUCGACAGUAAGCCACCAGCUAUAAAAGUUCACUAAAAGGCUAAACAAAGUUUUUGCUUUUAACAAUUUGUUGGUACCUCUCUGGCUCCAGAAAUCACGUCUGCUCUAAUGAUACGAUUCCAGUAGAGCGACUCAAAACUGGUAUUAAACCUCUAUAGUUCACGCACGAAUGGAGGCACGUCAUGGGUUUGGGGUGGCGUUUUUGUAGGCAACGUGCAGGUCUAGUAAACAGAUGUACCCUCUACAAGGUUUGUCUUUUGGGUUCAGUUUUAAACUAGAAAUGGUUUCAGCAUGACUAAAGACUGCACUUUAUGUCUUGUACUAGACAAAUGUAUGCAAUGAUGAGUAAAGCGGUGUGUUCGCAUACAGUUCUCUGGGUUGUUUAAAUUAUGCAAAAAUACGUAUUUUAAAAGACAGAUGGAGUGAAGUUAGGUUGUUGAUCCACUUCCACAACAGCAAUAAGAUACCACUUCUAAACAUUUCUAGCUAAGGAACAUGAAAAUAACAUUAGUGGGUGCAAUACUGCUGUGAUGUUACAGGAAAUUACCAAGCGCUUGUAAUCCAAAGCCCGUUAGUCUCAUUGCAGGACUCUGACCGGCCGGGAUCCCGGGUGAGACGCUCGGUGCGGGGCAGGUGCCGCCCGAGCACGGCUGUGUCUGUACACGGUGGGUAGAACCCAAGUGAGUGGGGACACUCUGGAAGUGUCAUUCAUUUGUCAGAACAGAGAAUCUAUGUAACUUCCUAUUUCUAUUUAUCUCAAUAAAUCCUGUGACUGUUUUAUAAACCAACUUGUGGUAACUUUUGUCAUAAGCGGUGGGAUGUGAGUGUAUUCUGUUGGUUAACCUCCCUGGCAGAAACACUGUCAUCUGUCAAACCAGGGUUGAGCCUGGAAUUCAUCAUACUGCGUAGUAAAAAAUGCUACAUGCCUGAAGAUCUGAAGUAGCUCUUCCUGCACUUUUCCUUGAAGUGAGUGUGCCAAAAGUGCUUAGAAACUAAAAUUGUUCUAUCAGAACUGAUAUUCUAACAAGGUAUAUUUUAAAUGAAGAGAACUUGCGCGUGCUGGGUGAUAUUCAGAUCCUUAUCUUAAAUCCUUCCCUCUCCAGACUCCAGCCUGGAAGGACAUUCUGGGCUGUUCUUUCAGUGUGGUGUUGCUCUUGGACAUCCUACAUUAAUAACUCCAAGUAGUUGUUAAAUCCUGGGGAAUGUGUGUGGGGAAUGAAUAAUUGACACCUGACUGCUUGGUUUUGCUUCUCAUCUCAGGAGUCUUCUCUAUCUUCCGCUGCUGCAGUCACCCUUUUGGCUGUUUCAGACACUCCCUGGCUGCUCCAUCCCGUGCUCCACGACUGCUGCCAACUGCUCCAAGGAGCACCCGGCCUCCCCCGUCUCUGCAGGACUUUGCUGGUACACAAGUGAGGAGAAGGGGCAGUCCCUGCACCCCUGGUAACGCCUCCCCCGACGCUUGGAGUUAGGGCAUAAGGCCCUUAUGUAGUAAACUGGAAACACGAAUUAAAUUGCCAUAUGCUCUUUUUUGAUUACGUGUCAGACUAAACAUGUAGACUGAGAUCUAGACUUCAACAAAGAAAACACUGGCCAUGCUGACUCCAGAGUAAGAACGGGACUCGAUACACAACAGUACCAAAAUCAAGAAUCAGAAGAGAUUCCCACUUCAUCCGCUUUACCUGGUGCUAGCUUACAGAACACCUUGAGUUUGCUAUCAUGCCGAGGCUGAUUAGUAAGAAAGCUUUGAUUUUUACCGAGCAAAUAGUUUCUGUGGUGCUUUGAUAGAGGGCAUGCUGCUUUCUUGAUUUAGGACUGAAACGUUGUCUCAGCAGAAGCACAAGGCACUCUGGCUGAUUGGUACUGCAAACCUUCGUGCCUGAACAGAUGUGGUCAUGAAAUAUCCUUUGGCACCUUUCAUGAAGAAGCAUUAUCUCUGUUGCCCUGGCCGACUUCCAGCCUGGCUAAUCCCAUUCUGUUCCUCUGUUUCCUCAGCCACUGCCAAUGGGUACCGCAGGGUUCUUUGCUUCCUUUCGUUAACUGGUGUGUAGUGUUGCAGUUCGCUGGCAAGCAGCUGUUCUGCCUUGUGCCACAAAUGGCUUGCAUUUUGCUAUUGGGCAAAUUGGUUUUGUUCGGUUUUCCACCAUAUUUUGAGUUCCCUGUGUAUUAAAGAUUCUUCCUACUCAGUGUAGAGCAGGAAACAGAAGGACGUGCCACAAAGAGAAAUGGUCUCCUUUGAAAUGAAAAGUGUAUUGGCAUAAGGGCCCCACAAAAAGCUUGUUGACGCUGUUGAUUUUCAAAUGGAAAACUCCGUUCUUUUUAAGAAAUAACCAUACAGCUGCUCUGAUAAUGUGCUUCCAGUUACUAGAUGAGAAAACCAUGGUGUGCUGUGGAAGAUGCAGCCCAACGCGGAAAUGGCUUCUCGAGAAGAACAGCAGCACAAGGCACCUGGAAAGUGUUCCUAAGAGACCUCUCAGCGGCGCUUAGAACUGAUGUGUUUGGGUUUAUUACCCAAAAAAAGAUCCUUCUGGGAAAGAAUGUGAUACAGGACUGUUUCCUGAGGCAGCUUAGGUUUAUGAGUUGCCUCCUGGAAUAAAGGCCUGAAGUUCUGUCUGCCUCCCAAGGAACCUGGGCUUAGGCGGCCAGUGCUGGCUGGCCUUGUACUCUUUCCCCAAAAGCUCCAGUUUCCGACCCGGUUAAGAGAAGGAUGAGGACUGCAAAGAGAAACAAUUAUUGGAAGAUUUUGUGGUGCUUAAUAACUACAUACAAAAGGAGAACACAAAUUAAUGUCCCCUCCGAGGGAUGGCUAUGGAGAAAUACUAUUACACAGCAGAGAACCAAGACGGGGCAGAAGAAUAAGAAACAAGCAGGUGUCCUGUAGUUGAUCUUGGCAUGAUUCAUGCAGUGUGCAAGCAUCCCCUAAGCAUAGAUAUGAGACUGCGGAUGCCUAAAGAGAAUCAGACCAGUCUUUUGAAAGAUACUAAAAAGUUUGUGUUUAUUUUGCAGCCAGCCCACCUGGGAGUUACAGAGCACUUUGUGGGCAGCACGCCACAUCAGAGCUACCGGCACCAGGGCAGAACAUGGAAUGGGCAGCACACCCAGCUUUUGCAGCACUGUUUGUUGCCAGCCACAGAGGUCACGUUGAAACAGCCAAGUUUCUCCUGAGACAUGGUGUGGGUUUGCAGGGCAAAGCCCCGCUGCAAGGACCAUCCUUAAGGUCACGGCAGUGCCAUUGGACCGAGCCGCUCCUUGGCGCGAGCAGUGAGGACCGACCACGGCAAGCCCAGAGGUUGCGACCGCACCAAGGUUUGUCCCAGCGGAGGAUGGGACCCCUGCGCUCUGCCACCCGCCGCCUGGGGGACCAGGCCUUGCAGCAGGCGUCUGUCCUACGCCCUGAAAUAGGUACUGACUCGCCUUGUUCUGGGAGACUUCAAGGGACAGUCAGUAACGUUCCCAGGGACCCACACUUCAAAUAUAGGUCACUGGGUGGGAUUUGCAGGUUUUAGUUAUGAAAUAAGCUCACGUACUGGUGAUGCUGCGGUGAAGAUGACAACUACUUGACAGCACAGCUCUCAAACAUGCUCUUAAUUUGUAGCUUAAGUAUUUAUAACGCUGUUCCCUAGCCAGACUGGCCAUUUGGUUAAUUCGGUUUGUAGGAGAGCUCGAGCCUGUCUGCAAGCUCUCUUUGGAAUGCUCCGUGCUAGGGUAAUUCCCUAAUAGUUGGCAACAGACCAGGGUGAUACAGUUUAAUGGGUAUUUCAGGGGACUGGAAAUCCCCAGAUCUUUAAUGCAGUUCUGGCCCUGACUGGCUUUGGCUUUAUUGCCUCUGGCAGAUCAGCUAAGGGUUAUUUUAUAAGUAGGGCAGUUUGUCUGCCGUGGAAGGGCGUAGGCAAAGUUGAUGUGCAUAUAAGUGGCUAAUCGUGAUUGCCCAGUGCUUGCUUAGUGUCUCCCCCGUUUUAAGGCUCGGGGCUUUGAAGGUUGGGAUUUCCUGAAGCCAGUGAUGGGGUGAAGGGACUUGUCCAUCUACUUUCAAAGUUUCUUAGUAUCCUAGAUUCCUUACAUGCUUUAGAAAUAAAAAUACUACUUGUGGUCUCUUUAUGCCUCUAUGAUCAGUAGAAGGAAGCUGAGCUUCUGGUCUGUUUCCUGAGGGCUUACUAAGGACUCGGUUUCCAUUGCUUUGCUUAAAGAGACAUUUUUCCAAAGAGCUCAGCGCUUAACUUCCAAUUAACCAGAGAAGAGGUGGUUCUGAGUGGGAACUGAGCACUCCUGAGAACUUGGCCCACUGCCUUUUUACUUGCAAAGCCCCCUGCGUAGCCAGGAGACUCUACAAACAGCUAUCGUGAGUGGUUCUUGUUUCCUUGUGUCCGAGCAUUUUUCUUUAACUGACACCAGGACUGCUACGUAAAUAUCCAGGUAACUAGUGAAUUUUGGCCUCAAUACUUAAGUUUGUGUUCCAGAUCAAUGCCUGGGAGUAGCGAUAUCCACAAUGUGAUAAAAAUCAGCAUCCUAUGGUGCAGCGUUGUCUUUUAUGAAGAGGUGAAAUGUGGAUCAGAAAGAUGCUGGCUGUGAACUUGGAUACCUUUAGUUUAUAUCCCUUAAGGGAGAGAUUGUGGCUAAUGAUGCGGACAGAGUUGACUCGAGUGCCCCAAUGACAAAGCUUUGCUUUGUGUGCACCAAACGAAUGGAGGCAAGUUACAGAGACCCAGUUUUGUAGGAAGGGCUGCAAAGCAGGACUCUCUAGUACCCAAGCAAAGGUGUGCCCUAUAUUCAAGGGGAUCUGAAUAAAGUUCCCAUGUAUAUUCCUUGUCAGAUAGUCCCAGACGGAAAUGCAGCGUGUUGCUCACGCACGGUAAGUGUGACAGGACAGGUGUCCAGGCAUGGGGCUGCCCAGCUCAAAGACAGAUAGUUUAGUCUGUCCAGGGAAUGGUUUCCCUGUGCUCACAAUCCUCAGCUGCCUGGGAGCAAGUCCUUAAGCCUAGUUUCCAUGUUAGUAAAGUUGAAAUACUAACCUGGAAUGCUUUCAAAAUGCGGCUGCAUCCCCUAAACGCUUGCCUGCCUCGCUGAGGGUGGAGGGAGGGAUGGGUGCCUGGUCUGAAAGCAGGGCGUUGCGCCUUCCGCGGGCGCUCCACUGGAUGGUGUGCUGUUCUGAGAACCGCGUGUGUGAACCAGGAAUGGAGACUGAGAAAUGAAAAACAGACUCAAUCUCUGUGCCAUCGAAGAACAUCCCUUCAGCUUUUUCUGUAAACUGAAAAGGCUUUGGGGCGAUUGCUUUAUUUCUUUGUUGCAAUUGCUUUCCUUUCCUUGAGUUUAAAAGAUUGCAGCCUAAAGGGAGAAUCCCCAGUUGCUGGCUGGAAUUGCCUGAAUUUGCAGGCGUGGGGAGAUGGGGCAGUCGGCAGGAGAGGGCUCGUGGCGGGACGUGCUGCAGGACACGCGUGUCCUCUCAUCCUCAUUCAUCACCCACAAAAAACAACCCAUUUGCUUUUCUUCAGCCACAUCUUCUCAGUUGCAUCCAGUUGCGACUUUCAAAGGCAGCAAUCCUGUAUUCCUUCUGAAUUGAUAUUUGUACUUAAAGUCUCUCAAAUCUAAGAUGAUAAAUACCUCUUACCUUUCAGUUCCUUAUUUUAAUCAAGUAAUAAAGCAAGGUCCAGAACUUCAGGUUACGGGAAGUACCACAUCUGAAGGCAGUUUCUGUGAUUCCGGAGGACAGGUGGCAAUGCUUACACACGUGACAUCAGUCUGAACAAAUGAGCGCGGAAUUCCUUCGGUUUGAGGGGACACGUUCAAGGUAUCGUUUAAACAAAGUUCACUCGAACAGGUUUUAUGCUGAUUAUUAAUUCUACGUGACUUAAAUAUAUAGUGUAAUAACUGCUUAAGAGAAUGAGAAGAUCACAAACUUAAAGUGAUCAGUAGACGAGAUAUAAAAAGAAGGUGCUUCUGGCAUUUUGCUGAGCAGUUGAAUAUUGCAAGCAGAUCUAUACAGAAAAGUCCUUAGAAAUCCUUUAUUCUUUCUUCCUAUUGUCUGUCUGGACUGUCUAAUCUGCACCCAAGCUUCCAGAAAAGGGGAGAGGAUCUGUAAUUGCUUUUAGACAUUAUGCAGCAUGCUGCAUGGCUCUGGGAAAGAACAGCGAAUGUCAUGGAAAGAAUUGGGUGACCUCAGGACAAGGAUGCCAGAAUGGCAGGAAAUUAUGUAGUAUGUGAUUAUGUAGUUAGGGACAAGUAUUAGUAUCAAGGAUUUUUUGCUGGAAGCUGGAGACUCAUCCUUUGGAAAAAACAGAAGUCACCAAUUGUGUUGCAGCUGGCAAGUGGAUUUUUGCACACCAGUCCAAAACUGUAUCGGGACAAAUUAGAAGAGAAUUAAUGUCUGGGUGAGACAAGGCCUGGAUCAAUGCGUGCUGUUCUGGUUAGGCGAGAAAGGUGAACUGAAGCCAGCAGAGAGCCCUGCAUUAACCAGGAGAGGAGAGAGCUCCCCUUCCUGCGAGGGCCAGGAGAGCAGGGCACAGCUGAGAGGACGGACCAUGCGAGGACAGUGUUGCUUUUUAUCUAAGGCAAUAAAUGUCAGGGAGGUAAAUAAGCUAUUUAUACUGAAAGAAGCUGCUGGGAUAAUACGAUCAGAAAUCAGAAUACGUUUUGCAGCUCUUGUUAGGGAGGAGGAGUGGCGCAAAGAGACCUAACCGAACGUGCGCGCCUUUAAGUAUGCUGUUGUGUGAUACAAUGGUCUGGAAAAGGGUUGGGGCUGGAUGGCAGCAUUGCUGGAUGCUGAUUUUAUUUGUUGCACCAUUGUAUUUGUUGCUUAAAGUUUCUAUUCCAAGGAAUAAAAGCUGGAUGUAGACAAAGCAGAUAAUAUUGCCUGUCUUACAGUAAACAGCUGUACUGUAGCAUGCACCAGAAAUAAACACCAAGGGAGACCGCAGACCGAGAUGCAAGGCUCAGGCAGAAAUGUGCCUGUUGAAGAGACUGAGCCUCUGGAUUCCUGAAAUCUGUGCUCAGCUCUGCUGCUGCUUCGUAUAUAUCUUGAAAAUUUGAUUUCUGUCUUAAAUAGUACCAGGAAUCCCUGUCAAUGUUGUUUCUCUAUUGCACUGGUGUGCAAAAUCCUGUUCUAAAGGGAAGCUGUAAUAACCUUUUCAAAGAAAGGAAACACAAGCACGUAAGAGACUUGUGUAUCUUGCAUUACAACCGUUUCUUUCUCCUCUUUAUGUUACAGCACAGGGAAAGGAUCAGAAGACUUUAGUGAGGUCUUGUUAAUGAACUUUGGGAUCCACAGAUAAAAAAAACAGGGAGAUCAUUAUGGAGAAGAAAAUGCAUUAGAAAUGCCUUGAGUUUAAUUAUGCCCAGGGCAGGACAAAUGUCACAACUGUCUUCUAAUAUUAAGAAAUCCAAAGCAACCCUUUUGGAAGGACUGUGGUUCCCUUGGAUGCAAAAGGCAGUAAGUUAAAUAAAGAUGACAAGCACAGGAAUAAUUCAUCACACUUUCCUAUCGUUAUCAGCUUAUCCCCUUUCCUUGCCUGGGCAGACUCCCAGUAUUGCUCACAGCCGUCACGCCGACUGCCGCUCCCCAGAGCCUUGAGAAAGCGGAGGCUCAGCGAGCCUGAAACAGUGACUGGUGCCAGGGAGAGCCUGCGAUGUCUCGGAACUGUCACCUUUCAUGCUUUCAAACAUGAGCCAAAUGUUCCCCAAGCAUCUCCCCUUUCUCUAGAAACGUUUCCAGUUUCACUUGAGUUACACCCCGGACUUGCUUAUGUUUACUCUGUCCCUCCAAGCUCCUCCCGUACGGAUGCUGCACAAGAGAAAAGCUUGGUACUGUUGCUAAAAGUGAGAUGCUACGAGGACGUGCCUAGUGGUGACUGGAUGUUUCUAGAAAGGAGUACAAGUGGAGCAGAGGCUUCGUUGCAACAUGAAUUUCCAGGCGUCUUGCUGCUUCAUAUCCCAAGGCCCGCAGGCGAAUGAUGCGUCUCGCUGGGUAAUGUGCACUUCGCUGUAGGGAGCCGACGAGUCUCUCCCUCUGCUCCCAGCUCAUAGUUCUGAAACUUCUUUGGUAUAAAGUUUCUUUCAACAUAGACAGAGAUGCAAUUUCUUUUAAAAUGUGUCAUUUAUUGAUAGAACUUCCAUACCUGUGGGGUUAUGGGCCCCUCCAGACUUGGGCAACACCUGAGUACAGUUUUGUGCUCGUGUGUUUUAUCAACACUCCUGGAAGCAUAACGCCACUAUUGAUCUUACCGUACUUGUGAGAUACAGCCUACAGCAGACCUCCCUGUGGAAAAUGAAUAUUGAAACUUGAGAGCAAAGACCCGUCAUUACUUUGGCAUUGCACGAAUAACUUGUUAGCUCAGUGAAUUUUUAAAUAGAAAAACAGGGCAGGCUUGUUGUUUUACCUGUUCCAUAUUUAUCAAUGGACAACAGCAGUGCAGAACACUGUGGCAAUCACUGCAUUCAUUUCUUAAAGUGAAUCAAAUGAACAGAUAUCGUUAAAUGCCGGAGUACAAUAUAGCUUAUAAAACCCAAGAGAUAUCAGGAAACUUGUACUGAUUGGGCUCUUAGAUGUUGUUUUCCUCUUGCUUAGGAAAAAGAAUUGUAGUCAGCUUGCAAUCUCCUCGACAUUGUUCAUGACGGAAGCAGACAAAAAGUACCAAUGAAACAGAAGGGCUGCAAUUUAGUUAAUUUUAUGCAAAACACAAUCAGCAUUCAAACUGGGAGUUACCAAGCAGAAAUGUAUUAACAGAGAAGCCAAAAUAUUCUCUGCGCAUAAAUCGUGAAAUAUUAAAACAAAAUUUCAAAGAGACUCCUGGAACCCACAUAACUAUAGGCCAGAGAAGAUGCAAGGCUGCAGUUUGAGGCUGUCAAAGUCACGAGGAGUUCAGAGAAGCCGUGAUCAGAUCCCGACACCCCAGGCCAUGCCUCUGUAUGGCAGGAACCAGGGCAGCUCUGGUGUGACAGAAGCCCCUGUAUCCGUAAGGAAAAACAGAAUCAACUUUUUCAGUAGAGUGAUUAGAAGAGAGGGUGAUUGCUUAGAAAAGGUGGUUGCAAAGGAUCUACGCUAGGGAGAGGAUAGAGCAGGAAGAGCAAUAAGGAGGUAGCAAAGGACAGAGAAAUGGAAAGCGCUGCAGAUCAGCUGGGGAAUGUAAUUAUGAAGGUGACAGCUGUGCGGGGAUCUGCCUUCUAGUCCUGGACAUCCCCAAAUUGAUGAUGGGGGACACUGGUCUCCCAUUUUGCAUUUUACUUGGCAUGAUAGACUGCUGUUAGCAUUGAAGUUAACUAAGCGGGCGCAAAAUAUUUUUGUACAGAACAUACUCCCUUUUUUCCCAAACUUCAUGCACUCUGCUGAAAUUUUCUUAUUAAUCAGUCUUUGUGCCUCAAAUCCCUGAAGGCUCCAGUCCAGUGUGCAUGGUCUGUCUCUGUCUGUAGCAGAACCCGUGUGUGUAUGCUUUCUCUGCCUUCAUUUUUUGAAUUUGCAGUGCUCCUUGAGUUGUAACCACCAACCGUGUUCAAAGACAACCGGAAGCCGGUUGUGAGCCAUGUCUGAGGAUCACGCUGACCACUGACGUUUAGAAUGGAUAGCGGUUUGCCGAGGGAAGCCAAAAGCUACUCACUUUCUACUGUGCUUCCAGCAUCCCGUUUAGGUUGGUUUAAUGCCCAACCUAGGCUGCAACUGAGGUUAGUGCUUUGGUUUUCCUUCAAGUUCCAUUUCUCCAUAUGCUGUUCUGUUUGCAACGUUUGCUUGACAUGAUUGUCUGGUAUGGUUUGAUGGUGUUUUGCCAGAAUUCCUGUGUGUACAGAAGCUAAUAAAGGAACCGUCAACUCAGAAAGCCCAUCUUAAAAUGUGGUCCUACUGGCUUGGGAUAAGAAACGCAGCGAUCCCUUGCCCAAGCCUCUUCCGCGGAAUCUGUGAUGCUAUUUCAAUUCCUUUAGUUUCCAGUAACCAAACAACCACUGGGGUCAACCAAAAGUCAAGGUGUAAAAAUUCAUCACUGUGAGCCUCCUUUACCUAUAAACUGGUUGUAUGUUAGAGGAAUGAUCUGGACCGUAGCAGUUGUCUUACAUCUCUUGAUGAGUAUUUGUAUGCAUAAUUAAAAUGUGUGUGUGUGUUUGAAUUCCAGCUUGUAUUGAUUGGAUUGGUCGGUGAUAAUAAACAGUAUAAAUAAAUCUGAUGGGAGUUAAAGCAUUGAUAUGCUGUAUGGGGGGAAAAAAUUAAAUUUAGUGCAGUGACCUUGAGCAGAAUGUAAUUUCGAAAGUACUUUAAAUAUGCUGAUGACAUAAAAUAAGGCUGAAGAAGUUGGAGGGGCAGGAGGAUAGGGGGCAGAGGAACAAAACAAACUCAUUCAAAAUUAUUUGGAUUUAUCAGGAUUACAGGCAGAUAUGUGGCUUAGGCAGUUAAUUGUAGGGAAGGGUGAGGUAAUGCGGCCGGGGACCGAAAGCAAUCAGACUCCAGCCAGAGCGGGAGCAGUGUGGAAUACAGAUCAGAGCAUGGCGAAAGGGCACAUGCAGCACUGGGGGAAGUCUCGUCUAGGGUGAACAGCUGUCUUGAUGCUUCGUAGGGAGCUCAGCUCUACAGCUGCGCUUGCUGCGUGGCUGAGAAAUGGCUGGCCCUGCUAAAGACGUUCUUGUUCAGCGCUGUCAAUCCAGGAACCGGCUUGUAAACGAGAGCGGGGUUUAAAAUGACCUUUCUCUUUGAAGAUCUCCAAAUACAGUUGCACCUCUUUCUGGGAGGAAAGCAAGUAAAGCAAAGAGGAAGACGGAGGGAACAUAGCCAUGCCAGCGUGAAUUAGAGGGACAGAAUCAGGCCUUAUCUGUUGGUGUACAAACACGCGGGAAUCCUUUCAUGCUGCUUUGACCAAGCCAAAAUCCUUCAGAGGCUAUAAGAUGCACGGCUGCUUGUUGCAGAUGAAUAGAGAAUCCAGCUUGUAAUGUUACAGGAAACAUGAUCUGUAAUUGAGCUGCCUAAUAGUUCAUCACACUGACUUUAGACUAGAAAAAUAAAAAAAAUAUUGUUUUGGACUAAUGAGCACCCUGUUGGGCCACAGUAAAGCAAAGAGAAAUUGGUGAAUCUUUCCAGUUGACUAAUCUGGAGGUAGAUUCCAUGGCUUUGGAAGUACUUGUUUUAUUCUCUUUUUUUUUUUUUCCUUCUUUUUUAGUUCUAAUGUCUAUUUCCAUUUUUUAAAUGUUUCAUUCAUUCAUUAAUGUUUAGAAGCCACAGCUGCAUGUGUUAUGCUUGUCAUAGUUGAGUAAGGCAGUGAGGAACUACAGGGAAAACUGGACCGGGAAGGACAGAAGCUAAGGCAAGUCACAAAUGAUAACUUGAUCUCAUACCCUAAUCCUUAUGCCGUAUCAGAAUUGAGUCAUGAAUGAAGAGUGGUGAAAGAAUCCUUGGGGAAAUAAGAGAUGCCCUUGGAAUUCUUCCUUUUCUGAGUCUCCUCAGGCUUUUGUGGCCCCUGGUUAACAUCUGCCCAGUUCAGUGUCGUGCCUGGGAUGCUGGACCCAUGCAGGAUGUGCUCUGGGAUGCACUCUGCCCUCACCCAGAGAUGUGUCUGUUCCGGUGAUUGCUUAUGCUGUCGCAAUAAUAACAACGAAAGAACGCUGAUCUCCACGUACUCGUACCCCAUGCUUCUGUUACCCAUUGGUUCUCCACAGCAAAUGGUCAGUCUUUAGUUAGAAUCUGCAUCCUUGGAGUUUUGUUGCUAGUUUGGGCUGUUGUCACACACUUUAGCUAAUACCCUCUAGUAAUUUUAUUUCUUAUUCACAUGCACACUUAAUGUCCUUAGUCGUUAGACUGAAAAAUGUUAACCUUGUCAUAGUUAGUGACUGGAAGCAGAAAAGUCCAUUUAAUUCUCGGGGGAAUGAAUUCUAAUUUUCUGCUUGUCAGAAAGUGACAUUUUACAUAUUCUUCUCUUUUUUUUCCCACCAGUUUAGUGCUAAAUUUAAAUGUGUGUGUCAUAGGAAUAGACUUUUUGUCUGUGCUAAACACCCCAAAAGCCUUGGCAGGUAUCCAGCGUGUGAGACUCUUGACCGAUAGCUGCUGCUGGAGCUCAUUUCAUGCACUGAAGAGAACGGGAGGUGAGAAUUAAAAGUUAGAGAUAAGAGGUCGUCGCAGAGGGCACAUCAGCAUUGUACGUCAGAAUGCAUAUUUUUUCCCCUGGAAGAUAUGGAUGAAAAGCAGCUCAUCUGGGAUAAAAUAUCCAACGAAGAAACAAAUUAUGUUAAUCAAGCAGGCUGGUACUACUAUUUGUCAUUAAGAUGUGACACCGUCUUUUUAAUGUCACAAUCUACUGGGAGCCUUUGAAAAAUGUACUGGUUGGAAGGAAGUUGUCUGCAGAUAUUGAGUUCACUGAUCUAUGAAUGGGAAUAACUUGUGUGUCUUGAAAAAUAGAUGGCAUUUACGGCAAAGAGAAAUAAUCCUCCCACAGAUUACAGCUGUUCACUGCAUUGUUGUGCUGGUGGUCUUGUCUCAUCAGUGGAUAUUUUAUAAGGAUUUUUUUUUUUCAUACAUAUCCAUAAGGCUGUUCUGAGGAGGGCAUCGUGUGCUGGGAGCUGGAUGCAUUUUAAGAAAGAGACACCACUACAAAGAACCGAGUCUAAAUUGUGAAGAUGGAUGAAGUAAAAAUGAAGGAUGGUUAUUUUGCUUUUUACAGAUGGGAACUGAAGCAGGGGAGGAUGACUGUUGUGGCCCAAGUCACCCUGGGAAUCUGUGGAAUUGCAUCCUGAUCUUUGAAGUCCAGUUCCACUAUCUUUACUAUAUAUUGUCUUUCUGUUCCCUUGCUGACGAAUGUAGAUUUAAUAUGCACAUGUGUAAUGAGCCAAACAUGUUCUGCAUAUGUUUACCCAAAUUCUGACCUUAGGGACGUGAGGCAAGCUCUCUCUCAUCUAGUUAGGAGUGCUUUCAUGCCUGGGCUCAACCCAAGGACUGCAAAACAGUGUUGGCAUUUAGUUUAUGAAACUAAAGCCCCUCCUGGGCUUGAAGUUCAAUUCAUCUGCCUGCUUGGUGUUUGAACAAAGUCAAGCUUCUCUGUGAGCUCUGGAGAAGAGAUGUCAGGCCAGUGGGUAACAAACUGCAUGGCUGAUUGUCUGACCUCUUGUGCUGUCUGUGCACCAGAUGCUGAUUAAUGAUUAGUGUGUAACAAAUUAAUAAAUCAAUACCAUAAACAAAUAUACCAUCCAUUGCAGUGGCCUGUCAAAUCUCUCUCUCCUCUGGGAGAAGAGAGACUUGCAGGCAUGUAUGUGAAUGCCUCUGGACUACGCGCUAUCUUGACACCUUGCAGAUUUGAUGUACAGAUGAGAUUAAGUGUAUUCCAUAGGUAAUUUGGUAUGUACUGAAAAAAACAUUUUGAAGUUUCCUUGCUUACUUUUGUUCUAUGCAGAUGUUCUUGAAGGGAAGGGUGAGUGGUCAGCACAGUAAACGUGGGCUCAGGAGGAGCAAGUUCCCGUACAGCCCAGGCGUCUUGCCUUGAAGGGGUAAUCCACACUAAUUUCAGACAACUACCUUCGGAGUCUAAAGAUAAGACCUUAUUGCCCAAGCUCCCUCUGCAGCUUGCUGGAGAAAGCAAGGAUACCAUAGUGUAUCACUCAAAGGUCUUAAUUUGGAUUCCAGUCCUGAAUCAUCAUCAGAGACGUUUAAAAUUAAUCCCUGUGAAAUAUCAAACAUUUUCUGACUUUAGUCUCUCUGUGCCACAAUCAAGCAACAAAAUGAGUUACUGUGUUGUCAUCAAUAGGCUGUUAGAAUCACAAAACCUUUUGUGCAUCUGGCCUUAUUUUUCAGAAAUAAAAACCACUUAAAAGUGUUGUGAUGCGUUAU